GACGAACGCUGGCGGCGUGCUUAACACAUGCAAGUCGAACGGAAAGGCCCUGCUUUUGUGGGGCGCUCGAGUGGCGAAAGGGUGAGUAACACGUGAGUAACCUGCCCUUGACUUUGGGAUAACUUCAGGAAACUGGGGCUAAUACCGGAUAGGAGCUCCUGCUGCAUGGUGGGGGUUGGAAAGUUUCGGCGGUUGGGGAUGGACUCGCGGCUUAUCAGCUUGUUGGUGGGGUAGUGGCUUACCAAGGCUUUGACGGGUAGCCGGCCUGAGAGGGUGACCGGCCACAUUGGGACUGAGAUACGGCCCAGACUCCUCCGGGAGGCAGCAGUGGGGAAUAUUGCACAAUGGGCGGAAGCCUGAUGCAGCAACGCCGCGUGCGGGAUGACGGCCUUCGGGUUGUAAACCGCUUUCGCCUGUGACGAAGCGUGAGUGACGGUAAUGUGUAAAGAAGCACCGGCUAACUACGUG
rnacentral:rRNA from 1 species